AGAUUGUGUAUGAGCCACUCAUACAUGAGACUAUUUGAUGACAGCGCGUACAUGCGCGCCCUCAAUUAAGGAAGUCGUGACAUCUUUGUAAAUACACGAUUAUUACAUUUACGACUAUUAUAAGUUUAAGCUUUAGUACAUUAUAGACCUUUAUACGUAUCGGUUAUGUAUUCAUUCUGACACCCUGACAUCCUGACAUCUCUAAUUGACAAUAAUCUUAUACAGAGUGUGACAUUGCAUACCGCUCUGUACAUUGGUCCUUCGAGCCGGAUCACACCGCUCUAGGCCCUGAGUGUGAAAAAACUCGCACUCAGGGCCCUGUACAUUGGUCCUUCGAGCUAUCGAGCUGGACCCCGCGAAACGUACGGCAAACGGGUUUAGUGACAUUAAUUCUCGGCCGCCGACGGAGAUCACUGGUGUAAGGUGUGCAGUCUCCCACGGUUCCUGAGAGGUCCGCGCUGCAGUUCACACCGCAGACCAGCCGCUCGCCAGGUUGUGAGUGAACGCCAGCAGCUGCCGCAAUUCAAGUAAGAUCUUUCCAUUCUUACAUUCCUGACAUUAUGGAGAAUUUGCUUAGUCGUCAAAAGGCGAUUAUAACAGCAAAUACGCAAACUCGCGACAAUUUCAAAAAAGACUCUGCGCAUAGAAAGACAGAGGCCUAGUUGCAACAACAUAUUGACACUAUCAGCAACCUCUGGAGAAGAUAAUCAUGUAAAAUUAGAAACAUCCCCUGACAAGUCGCAUGAUUAUUUCACUAAAAACAUCAAGGUUAUGCAAUUCAAAUGACAACUCCGCUGAUUGAAGAAAUGCUGAUGAAGCACAGUUCAAUAACCCGGUGCGUACGAAUCAUGUGUUGGGUUUCGCGUUUCAUUACCGCUACUCGGGGCAAGGUCAAUGUUACUAGAACUGCCUACUUGACACAAACCGAAAUAGAAACUGCAUAUAAUUGUAUCGUAAAAUCGGUUCAGGCGCAGACGUAUGAAACUGACAUGAUUUCUACAUUUGACACAUCUGACAUUCUCAAUAAAAUUGACAUAUUUUUGACAAGAAAAUUGUGGAGCCUAGGAGAGGUUCUACUUGCAGGAACAGCACAAAUUGCAGUGCAAAUGACAAAUUGACAUAUCUUUUACAAGAAGAUUGUGGAGCCUAGGAGAGGUUCUACUUGCAGUAACAGCACAAUUGCAGUGCAAAUGACAAAUUGACAUAUCUUUUACAAGAUGAUUGUGGAGCCAAGGAGAGGUUCCACUUGCAGUAACAGCACAAUUGCAGUGCAAAUGACAAAUUGACAUAUCUUUUACAAGAUGAUUGUGGAGCCUAGGAGAGGUUCUACUUGCAACAUGACAUUAAUUCUCGGCCGCCGACGGAGACCACUGGUGCAAGGUGUGCAGUCUCCCACGGUUCCUGACAUUCUCAAUAAUCUCACCUGCAGGGAAUUUGGGAAGCUGCCGUGCGCAGCAUGAAGCGUCAUCCGAAGCAAGUAUUGACAUUAGAAGAGUUCUCGACACUUUUGACACAUUGAGGCUUGUCUUAACUCGAGGCUCUGUAUGAAUGUACUGAGGAUGACGUCGUUUUGACACCGGGACAUUUAUUAUUAUAUUAUUAUUAAUUUUAUAACCAUAACAGAAAAUGACAUCUAAAUCUGCAUUAAGCAGAAUGACAACAAAUUGCUAUGGCCCUUAGAAAACCCCGUGUACAGCCUCAAAACACAUGAGUCAUUAUGCGACAUGCGUCUGAUUUUAAAUACCAAAUGACAUUAAUUACUGUCGGUCUGAGACAAAGAAAUGCACAGACACAUAGGUCAAGUUACACGCACGCGACUCUUGGUUGUUUACAUGCUGCCAGGAAUGCUACGUUCGCAUUUUAUGCCCAGCUGGAGUAUCGACGAAACGCUUACAAUGCAUGAGAAUCAUUGCACUAGGUCAGGGCUGUGUUAUGAAAAUGAAGAUUGACACAAUAAAACCUUAUAUUAUAUCAUCCCCACUGAAUGAGAUUAUCAACACGACGUUGCCACACUAUACAGUUAACACAGAACAUACUCAAUUAUACAAUGAAAUACAGAAAAUUGACAUACUAUUUACUAAUGAUGAGCUACCUCACCACAUCGUGAACUACAGUAUUUCAUCAGCACUAGUAGCGGUGAUACUUUUGUACACCCUGUAUAAAUUAAAGCAAAGAUGCAAGAAGCGGCCGCGUACGCGAGAGGAGCCUCCGAUCGAGAUGACCCGGCGGAGGCCGGGAGUGAGUGAGUGCAAGUGCAGUGUUGCUAAUGAGGUAGUGCCCUGUCAUAUACAAGUAGCCUCACCAGUGAAGUGUCGUGACUCAAAUCAAUCUUUGAACAAUCUAAAUAAAUCGACGUCCUCAUUCAUGAUAGACCAUACAGUGACAUUUGAUUAAGACAUUUUGCAUUAGAUCUUGUAAUUAGUUAUAGUUAGGAAUAGAACUAACUUGCACUAAACUAUUGUUACUGCACAUUGACUAACGUGAUGACAUGUAAAUAUUUAAGACUAGACUUAACCUUGAUUCAGUUAAUUAGUUAACCUAGGUAGCUUUCGUUCUCUUGGGUGGCAGUAUGUAUGAGCCACUCAUACAUGAGACUAUUUGAUGACAGCGCGUACAUGCGCGCCCUCAAUUAAGGAAGUCGUGACAUCUUUGUAAAUACACGAUUAUUACAUUUACGACUAUUAUAAGUUUAAGCUUUAGUACAUUAUAGACCUUUAUACGUA